rnacentral:RNase_P_RNA from 1 species
GGAUAAAUGAUCGCGGCUGCAAGUGUCGAAAGACCGCAGGUGAGGAAAGUCCGGGCUUCAUAGGGCAGGAUGCCGGAUAACGUCCGGUGGAGGUGACUCCCAGGCUAGUGCAACAGAAAUAUACCGCCAGCUUUUGCUGGUAAGGGUGGAAAGGCAGUGUAAGAGACUACCGUUCGUCUGGUAACAGGCGAAGCCAUGUAAACCCCAUCCGAAGCAAGACCAGAACGAAGCAUUGACGUGGCCCGCCAGCUUCAGGUAGGUCGCUUGAGGCGUAUGGCAACAUACGUCCUAGAUAGAUGAUCAUUCACGACAUAACCCGGCUUACAGUUCCACUCA